AUUGAACGCUGGCGGCAUGCUUUACACAUGCAAGUCGGACGGCAGCACAGAGAAGCUUGCUUCUUGGGUCUCGAGUGGCGAACGGGUGAGUAACAUAUCGGAACGUACCGAGCAGUGGGGGAUAACUAAUCGAAAGAUUAGCUAAUACCGCAUAUUUUCUGAGGAAGAAAGCAGGGGACCAUUUGGCCUUGCGCUGUUUGAGCGGCCGAUAUCUGAUUAGCUAGUUGGUGGGGUAAAGGCCUACCAAGGCGACGAUCAGUAGCGGGUCUGAGAGGAUGAUCCGCCACACUGGGACUGAGACACGGCCCAGACUCCUACGGGAGGCAGCAGUGGGGAAUUUUGGACAAUGGGCGCAAGCCUGAUCCAGCCAUGCCGCGUGUCUGAAGAAGGCCUUCGGGUUGUAAAGGACUUUUGUCAGGGAAGAAAAGGGCGGGGUUAAUACCCCUGUCUGAUGACGGUAC
rnacentral:rRNA from 1 species